CGUAAGCUUGUCGAAUCUACAAAGCACGAGAUUAAAAGGAAGACCAACAAAACUGAAACUCUUGUACAGACUUGUAUUAGAAAUAGAUUCAGGAGCAAGGCAAUGGCUGGUACACUGACUCGGACCAUCAAUCCCUCACUUCGCGUAAAGAUAAAUGAUGUGUGCCGAGAAGUUUUGCAGAACAACUUCAUUCGAAAAAUAGACCUUGUUUGUCGGGACAUAUCCUUGCAGCUCUCAAAGACAUUUGAUCAGGGUCUUAAAGAGAUUCUUCAAGAAAUUCAGAAGGACAUUGUGGAGGAUAGUCGAGGUCACGCUGAGAAGGCUUUGAAGAAUAUAGAUUCAAAUCUUCAUUCCAGGCUACAGGCAUUUUUUUAGCGACCACAAAGCCAACCUGAUAACACCAGAUAUGGAAGCUCGAUUUCAUGAAGCUGUGAGAAAGAGUGUGGCCAACUUUUAAGUCUGGAGUUAUAGAGGCAGUAGCUGCGUGAGUUCACUUCUUGUGUAUCUACAAAGCAAGCUCUGAAGAGAUAAAAUGAUAGUUUUGCAUCUGUG